UCCGACUUAACGACGGCAGUCUCCUUAGAGUUCUCAGCAUUACCUGUUAGCAACUAAGGACAAGGGUUGCGCUCGUUGCAGGACUUAACCUAACAUCUCACGACACGAGCUGACGACAGCCAUGCAGCACCUAUACAGCGUUCCCCGAAGGGAUAGCCCACUUUCAUGGGUUUACACUGCACUUCGAGCCCAGGUAAGGUUCUUCGCGUUGCAUCGAAUUAAACCACAUGCUCCACCGCUUGUGCGGGCCCCCGUCAAUUCCUUUGAGUUUCACCCUUGCGAGCGUACUCCCCAGGUGGGUCACUUAAUGCGUUAGCGUCGUUACCGAGGGGGUCGAAUCCCCCGACAACUAGUGACCAUCGUUUACGGUGCGGACUAC
rnacentral:misc_RNA from 1 species